GUCCUGGCAGAGGAACAGGGGUGGCAGAAAGAUCUCUCCAACCAACCACUGCCCAAUGCUGAGGUUACCUGGUUCAUUGCCCUCUGGAACAUCAGCCCAGAAAGCGGAACUGAUUGCACUCAUCAAUACCUUAGAUCUGGGGGCUGGCAAAAAAAAAUCAACAUCUACACCGAUAGCAGACACAGAUAGCUAUUAAGAGUGAGCUAUUAGAGUCCCAUAUACACAAGAGAUCCGAUUGCCUCGCCUCGCCUCCUGCGUGCUGGGAUUAAAGGCCUGUGCCUCGCCUUCCCAGCUCUUCUGACAACGGAGGCUGCCCUGAGAACUGCCAGAGGUUCCCACACUGUAUCUGACAUUAGCCCGUGAACCCCUUCCCGGAUGUGCUUUUACAGUCUCUCGCCCCGACCUGCGUUUGUCUAUCCCUCAACGGACUGUUUUCACUUAAACCCACAAAGAAUUCC
ensembl:lncRNA